AAAAAAAGCAUAAGAUGAUUAAAGAGCCGUACCUCGUUCCAGAUCUUCCUUAAUAUCUUUCGUGUAUUUUGAGUAAAAUCUCUGAAGUUUGAGGUUGAACUUUCUGUUACGUUCGUUGAUAAAUGUAAUAUGGUCUUCCUCAUCUGUACCACGCCGUUUGGUAUUUUUUAACCUUCGUUGGUCUUGUUUUUUAAUACUUUCCACUAAACGUUCGACGUGUUCCUUAUCAGGUUUAUUUGACACCCAGUCCAAACGCUCUGCUUCGUCAUAUAAAGCGACGGAUCGAGACUUGCUUUUUUCUUCUUUUUUAUCCUUGUCAUACUUUUCAUAAUCCGGCUUCAGAUCUCUUAUGCCACGGUUGUAAUCUUUGCUAGCUUGAGAAUGAUAGUCUGAGAAUGCCACAUUCUGAAUUGUUUGCUUUUUCUUUCGUAAUCGCUGAUCCCACUUCUCGCUUUCUUCAAUCGUCCAAUCCCAAGCUCUUCGUCUUUCAAAGUCUCCUCCUUCUUCCUCAGUUUCGAUUUUAGCAAGCUCUUCCUCUGCCUCCAUUCGUUUUCGUUCGAGUCGCCGCUCCAAAGCAGGAUCAAUGCGCAUUCGUGAAUGCUCUUGUACUACCUCUUUACGAUUUUCAUGAGAAGAUUUCCUCUAAACUUUGGUUAGCCGUACAAAAUAGCUAAGUAGUUAACGAACAUACCAUUUGUUCACGAAUUUUUUUUAGUUUUUCAACUCGUGCUUCACGUGAGUGAGAAGGCGAGUCCAUUGUGUUUAAAAUUCUUUGCCCCUUAGUUUUUUCCUCUAAUUUUUAAAAAAACCACAACUAUUCAGAAAUCAAGUUUAAUUGUUGUAGUGUGCUACGCAUUUACUCUACACAAUUAUGUAUGAACAAAUAAUUACCUCACAAUAUGAAUUUACGUUGACUAUGGAUACUGCUCUAUUCAUUGUAAACAAAACAAAACAAAUGUCACAAGGUAAGGAAAAGUGCUCGGUUUUAAACCUAACUAUAAACUCAUCGGAUUUUACAGGAUGUUAAUAAAGAAAAAAAGGCCUUUGAUCAUGAUUCAUGUUGUGUCUUUGCUCUCAGUUUUCUUAUCUUUUUUCCUAAAUCCAGUUGGAAUAGAUUAUUGUUUUAUGAUUUUAUAAUUUAAAGUAAAACCUUGAGCUUGCUCCUUUCACCGCUAAAACAUAUCUAACUUUUCUGCAUUAAAAUAUGGGGUUUAGAUCACAUAAAGCCGAAUGAUAUCAGUAAUCCAACUAGCAUAGUUAACAUCUCAUUAUUGAAAAAUAAUUUAAUGACAAUAUGUUUUUAGCUGUGAACAUAUUACCUUAUUUCUGCAGUGAAAUCAGAUCAUCCACGUUAUCCUUUAAAAAUAGAUAAAUAAUUAUUCGAAAGUUCAAUGACACAUGCGAUCAACAGACUUAGAGCCCGUGCCCGUGUUUAAACAUUCCAUUAUAAAAGGGAAGUUUUACUCAAAGAAGUGCCCUUGUUUCGAAAAUUUCUUGCCAUUCAAAAAACUAAACACUUUAACACAGAACAAGUCGCAGGAUUUGACGAAUUGAUGGGAUAACGUCUUUUGCCGUAAUACGUUAUAUCCUCAAGUAGAUGCAGAACAUUCACCUCUUGCAGGAGAAACGUACAUCUUCAUCUCUAAGCACAUCAACUUAAACCUAACAA
rnacentral:lncRNA from 1 species